ACUUUCAUAGGUUUCGAGACGUGAGCUCGAGGCGAUGAAGGGUUGAGCCUGAGGGACUUCCCAUUUUUCAGUGUGUGUGUCGUGGUGGCGAGGAGCGGUGGUGUAGCUUCCUUUGGCUCCUGCUCCUCCUUUCUUUUCCCCCUUUAGUCUUUUUUAACGCUUGUCCUCGUGUUCCUCUUCCUCCUCGUUACCUUUCCAUCGUUAUCGUUAUCAUCAUCCUCGCCCUCUCCGCCGGCCUUGUGUUCCUCACCUUACAUCUGCAGAUGGGGCUCACCCUCCUCUUCCUUUUUCUGCUGAUUCAACGCUUCUCGAUUUUAGUUUUCUUUCUCCUCGUUCUCAUCUUUUAUCUUGUCCUCCACCACUCCUCUCCACACGAACAAGGACACACACACGCCACACUGUCACUGUCGAUCCGGUGUCAUUGCAACGUCUUGUUCAGGAAACCGGAACAAGGAGACAUGAAAGUUGGCGGUGCGUGUGGCUGUGGUGAGCGGCGGCGGCGGCGGCGGCGGCGACGACGACGACGACGACGACGACGACGACGACGUGUGGCGUGGCUAGCGGGUUUCUGCAGUAUCCCUCUCCUUCCUGUUUUCUGUUCUUCCCCGUUCUCUUCCUCCGCCUCGUGUACUGCUACUCGCUCUUGUACGGUGACUUUUUUUCCUUCGUUGCAAUAUUUUGUCUGUUUUCUCUUUUCUUUUCUUCUCGUGCUUUUUAUUUACAUUAUUAUUUCUUAUUCUAUUUUGUUUAUUUUGUGUGUUUGUACGUGUGUAUUUUCUUCCUCCACAUUUUAUUUGGAUUUUCUUAAUUUUUCUCGUAUUUUUCUAUUCUCCUAUUCUUCCUUGUAUCACACACACACACACACACACACGCCGCGUAGUGUAGUGGUUGUUAGCACGCUCGGCUCACAACCAAGAAGGCCUGGGUUCGAAUCCCGGGAGCGACGAGGCAAACGGGUGAGCCUCUUAAUGUGUAGCCCCUGUUCACCUAGCAGCAAGUAGGUACGGGAUGUAACCCGAGGGGUUGUGACCUCGCUGUUUUAUUAUUAAAUAGUUUGCAUAUUUAUUUAUCUACAUAUAUUAUUUGCAUAUUUAUUUAUCUACAUAUAUUAUUUUUAUUUUAUUAUUAUUAUUAUUAUUUAUUUUAUUUUAUUUAUUUAUUUUUUUUUUUUGUGUGUGUGUGUGUCAGGGAUGAGUUUUACAGCUCUCAUCGCAAGUUGUAUUAAAAUUCAAUAGCCACAUUUGCUCGCUCGUGUAUAUAUUGUUUAGUGUUAUCAGCGGUUCUUAAGAAACAGAAUUUUAAGAGAUUAUAAACUUUACGUGAUAUUAAGUUUUGUUUGGUUAACACUUGAUGCGCUUCAUCCUUCUCGCUCUUUGUUCGUGUUUCAUUCUCUUUCCUCAUGUAAACUGCUGUCCUCAUUCGUUUGUUCCCUUCUUUUAUGCACUUCAACCAUCCAGCCACAAUUUCUCGGUUGCCUCUGCACUUGUGUUGUUGUCUUGUUCAUCUUGUAUUCUAAGGCAAUGGAACAGUCCGUUGAUUUCUGUUGCUAUUUUUAAAUUCUUGCACUAUAUACAUUUUUCAUAGAUUUUCCUGGAAACCAUGAUUUUAAGACCAAUUGGAAAGUGGGUGAGUGUUCGAAAGCACACACAAAAGUUCCUAAUUUCACCGUAAGUUACUGGAGGCAAACUUUAGAGAUUCAGUAAAUCUUUGUUAAUGUUGCUUUCUCCCCCCUUUACAGAUUGCCUGUUCAUCUUUCCCUUCCUCAACGCUUUGUUAUUCUCGUCUUCCGCUUUUAUUCCUGCUUCACUUCUAGUUUCAAGAGACUCGGUUUGUGAGUCGUAUGCUUGCGUGCGUUGCAGUGGUGAGAGGAAAUGUGUGUGUGUGUGUGUGUGUGUGUGUGUGUGUGUGUGUUCUGGCUGGUGGACAGAAGACUUGUGUGUGGUGGGGUGGGGACAGUAUUUAGUGAAGGAAUGUGGUUGUUUGUGUGUGUGUGUGAGUGUGUGUGUUAGGGGUGUGGGAAGGGUGGUGGGUGACGGGGAGCGCGUCGUUGCAGUCUUAACAUUUUCUCUUGUUAUCCACGUCCUCUUUGUCAGCCUCCACCUUUUCUUGUCCCUGAGUUUUCUGCUUCCUUUUCUGCAUGAACUUACACAUGUCGUCGUCUCCUUUUACUUCAUCCUUUUGCUUUUCAGUCGUGAUGGUCCUCGUCCAGCUCCUCGCCACCUCACCACACGCCACCACCGUCCCUGUUGAUGCUGCG